ACGGGAGGCAGCAGUGGGGAAUUUUGGACAAUGGGCGAAAGCCUGAUCCAGCAAUGCCGCGUGUGUGAAGAAGGCCUUCGGGUUGUAAAGCACUUUUGUCCGGAAAGAAAACCUCCGCCCUAAUAUGGUGGGGGGAUGACGGUACCGGAAGAAUAAGCACCGGCUAACUACGUGCCAGCAGCCGCGGUAAUACGUAGGGUGCAAGCGUUAAUCGGAAUUACUGGGCGUAAAGCGUGCGCAGGCGGUCCGCUAAGACAGAUGUGAAAUCCCCGGGCUUAACCUGGGAACUGCAUUUGUGACUGGCGGGCUAGAGUAUGGCAGAGGGGGGUAGAAUUCCACGUGUAGCAGUGAAAUGCGUAGAGAUGUGGAGGAAUACCGAUGGCGAAGGCAGCCCCCUGGGCCAAUACUGACGCUCAUGCACGAAAGCGUGGGGAGCAAACAGGAUUAGAUACCCUGGUAGUCCACGCCCUAAACGAUGUCAACUAGUUGUCGGGUCUUCAUUGACUUGGUAACGUAGCUAACGCGUGAAGUUGACCGCCUGGGGAGUACGGUCGCAAGAUUAAAACUCAAAGGAAUUGACGGGGACCCGCACAAGCGGUGGAUGAUGUGGAUUAAUUCGAUGCAACGCGAAAAACCUUACCUACCCUUGACAUGUAUGGAACCUGGCUGAGAGGUCAGGGUGCCCGAAAGGGAGCCAUAACACAGGUGCUGCA
rnacentral:rRNA from 1 species